rnacentral:rRNA from 1 species
GUCGUCAGCUCGUGUCGUGAGAUGUUCGGUUAAGUCCGCUAACGAGCGCAACCCUCGUCGUAUGUUAUAUGUGUCAUACGAGACUGCCGGUAAAAAGCCGGAGGAAGGUGAGGAUGAUGUCAAGUCAGCAUGACCUUUAUAUCCAGGGCUACACACACGCUACAAUGGUCUGUACAAUGGGUAGCCAAGCCGCGAGGCGGAGCCAAUCCUGAAAGCAGGCCUCAGUUCAGAUUGCAGUCUGCAACUCGACUGCAUGAAGCCGGAGUUGCUAGUAACCGCAGGUCAGCAAUACUGCGGUGAAUACGUUCCCGGGUCUU